CUUCUUUCCCCGUCUCCCCAUGCUAAAAAUAUUUAUAUGUAUUAAUAUAUAUUCAUAAUGAGGAUUGUGUUUCAAUUAGCUAGGCCCAAGGAAUAACGUUAAAGUGGAUUGAGAGGGAAAGUACAUAUCAGUGAUUUCAAAGAAAAACAGCUGUUAUGGUAGAGUUAUCCAUAAACCAGAAAUUGCAGAUGCAGUAAAUUCAGUCUCGUGGUUAUUCUGAAAAGAAAUCCUACUAUGUUAAGAUAUGAUAAAUUCAGAACCAAGGUGGUCAAACAACCUUAAGUCUCCCCUAUAAUAAGGCCGUGAGAAAAACUCUAAAACCCAGUCUACCUUCAUGUAUGACUUUUUUCUUCAGGCUCACCUCCAGAGCUAAGAUGAUGUGGGGAAGCAGCUGGAGCAGUUGUCCUGGUCUUCAGAUCUUCAGCUGAAGCAAGCUGCCUUAGCUCCACUAAAAAUCUGUGCAUCCGUGACUUCACUCAAGCUGGGCUGUGCCCCUUAACCCCUCUGAAACCACAAUCAUGUAAAAAUCUGCAGGAAGCAUGAGGUGAACUAUUCAGUCACUGAAGCCCAGAAUCGGAUUGCUUCAAGUGCUGGGCAGGGGCUCGGGUGGUACCAGCACCGCUCGUGCGAUCUCCCUUGCCACCCAUGACACACUGUAAGCAUACUAGGAACGUGAGUUAUUCGGGGAUCUUGUUAGGAAUGGUUCGAGUACGAGGCCGCCCUGCCCAUUGCUGCUUGUAUGCGAAUAAAACAGCGAUUCAGAGCUAGUGCUAAUAUUCAUCAAUAUGAGAUGAAUUUGGAGCUUCAGCAACACAAUUCUGGCACAACAAUUGGGCAAGAAACUUCAUUACAGAAAAAGGCCCUUCCCAAGGAAGGCUCUGGUGAAGACAGUGAGGCAGAAGUCUUCUGGGCUCUGCAGAAAAGGUGCCGAACAAGACUUGUAAACUGUGAAGUAACUACUAUGGAAAAGAUUAAGUAAAGCAUUGGAGGCGGAUGAUUUUGACAAUAAAGAGGGUGUAUGUGGUGAGUGUUUAAUAUUU
rnacentral:lncRNA from 1 species